rnacentral:rRNA from 1 species
GACAGAGGUGGCAAGCGUUAUUCGGAUUUAUUGGGCGUAAAGGGCGCGUAGGCGGCCAAGUGCGUCCGGUGUGAAAACGCUACCGCUCAACGGAGCGAAUGCGCUGGAUACGACUUGGCUUGAGUUCGAGAGAGGUGAGCGGAAUUCCUGGUGUAGCGGUGGAAUGCGUAGAUAUCAGGAAGAACACCUGUGGCGAAGGCGGCUCACUGGCUCGACACUGACGCUGAGGCGCGAAAGCGUGGGGA